GAUGAAGAACGUAGCGAAAUGCGAUAAGUAAUGUGAAUUGCAGAAUUCAGUGAAUCAUCGAAUCUUUGAACGCACAUUGCGCCCUCUGGUAUUCCGGGGGGCAUGCCUGUUCGAGCGUCAUUAUAACCACUCAAGCUCUCGCUUGGUAUUGGGGCUCGCGGUUCCGCGGCCCCUAAAAUCAGUGGCGGUGCCUGUCGGCUCUACGCGUAGUAAUACUCCUCGCGAUUGAGUCCGGUAGGUCUACUUGCCAGCAACCCCCAAUUUUUACAGGUUGACCUCGGAUCAGGUAGGGAUACCCGCUGAACUUAAGCAUAUUCAAUAAGCGGAGGA
rnacentral:misc_RNA from 1 species